UAUGUGAUCGUCUCUCGCAUAUCAAUAAGCGGAGGAAAAGAAACUAACAAGGAUUCCCCUAGUAACGGCGAGUGAAGCGGGAAGAGCUCAAAUUUGAAAUCUUAAAGGGUUUCCCUUUACGAAUUGUAGUUUAAAGAAGUGUUUUCUGUUGAGGUUUUGGUAAAAGUUCUUUGGAAUAGGACAUCAUAGAGGGUGAGAAUCCCGUAUUUGACCUUUACUUUCAACUUUGUGAUACACUUUCAAAGAGUCGGAUUGUUUGGGAAUGCAGUCCAAAAUGGGUGGUAAAUUUCAUCUAAAGCUAAAUAUUGGCGAGUAGACCGAUAGCGAACAAGUACCGUGAGGGAAAGAUGAAAAGAACUUUGAAAAGAGAGUUAAACAGUACGUGAAAUUGUCAAAAGGGAAGCGUUUGACACCAGUGUUGUUUUUCUGAAAAUCAAUUAAAGAACUGUUUAUGCUAAGCUGUUUAGACUUUAUCAGCUAUCUGUUUAGUUUUGAGCUUUUCUUUAAUGCACUUUUCAGUUAACAAGUCAACAUCAAUUUCUUUUGCUGUAAAAAAGCUUGAGGAAGGUGGCUUGAGAUUCGUCUUAAGUGUUUAUAGCCUCUUGCCUAUGCAGUCGGAGAGAUUGAGGUCUGCAGCGUAGAUCCUUCGGGGCUAAAUGCAUUUGUGCUGAGUUAUAGCAUUUUAUAGACAACUUGUUGACUAUGAUUUGUCUUGUAGCUUACUCGCUUAUGUUAUUUUACCUACGCUUAGGAUGUUGAAGACUCUACAGAGAUA
rnacentral:rRNA from 1 species